rnacentral:rRNA from 1 species
UGGGGAAUAUUGGACAAUGGGGGCAACCCUGAUCCAGCCAUGCCGCGUGAGUGAUGAAGGCCCUAGGGUUGUAAAGCUCUUUCACCGGUGAAGAUAAUGACGGUAACCGGAGAAGAAGCCCCGGCUAACUUCGUGCCAGCAGCCGCGGUAAUACGAAGGGGGCUAGCGUUGUUCGGAUUUACUGGGCGUAAAGCGCACGUAGGCGGACAUUUAAGUCAGAGGUGAAAUCCCAGGGCUCAACCCUGGAACUGCCUUUGAUACUGGGUGUCUUGAGUAUGGAAGAGGUGAGUGGAAUUCCGAGUGUAGAGGUGAAAUUCGUAGAUAUUCGGAGGAACACCAGUGGCGAAGGCGGCUCACUGGUCCAUUACUGACGCUGAGGUGCGAAAGCGUGGGGAGCAAACA